GCCGAGUUCGGUGGCACGUGCCUGUAGUCCCAGCUACUCGGGAGGCUGAGGUAGGAGGAUCGCUUGAGCCCAGGAGUUCUGGGCUGUAGUGUGCUAUGCUGAUCGGGUGUCUGCACUAAGUUUGGCAUCAACAUGGUGACCUCCCGGGAGCGGGGGACCACCAGGUUGCCUAAGGAGGGGUGAACCGGCCCAGGUCGGAAAUGGAGCAGGUCAAAACUCCUGUGCUGAUUAAUAGUGGGAUCGCACCUGUGAAUAGUCACUGCACUCCAGCCUGGGCAACAUAACGAGACUUCAUCUCU
rnacentral:SRP_RNA from 1 species